UACGUAGGGUGCAAGCGUUAAUCGGAAUUACUGGGCGUAAAGCGUGCGCAGGCGGUGAUGUAAGACAGAUGUGAAAUCCCCGGGCUUAACCUGGGAAUGGCCUUUGUGACUGCACGGCUAGAGUGUGUCAGAGGGGGGUAGAAUUCCACGUGUAGCAGUGAAAUGCGUAGAGAUGUGGAGGAAUACCGAUGGCGAAGGCAGCCCCCUGGGAUAACACUGACGCUCAUGCACGAAAGCGUGGGGAGCAAACAGG
rnacentral:rRNA from 1 species